AAGGCUGAGACGAGAUAAAUCAACAUCUCCAGCGCUUUCAUGCACAUCUCUACAAAGUGAUCAUUCAAUGGAUCGACCAGUAAAGUUCCAAGAAAGAACACAAGAAAUAAGGCUAAGACCAGAUAUGGCAACAUCUCCAGCCCCUUCUUGCACAUCUUUACAAAGUGAUCAUUCAAUGGAUCGACCAGUAAAGUUCAAAGAACGAACUCAAGAUAUAAGGCUGAGACGAGAUAAAUCAACAUCUCCAGCGCCUUCAUGCACAUCUCUACAAAGUGAUCAUUCAAUGGAUCAACCAGUAAAGUUCCAAGAAAGAACACAAGAAAUAAGGCUGAGACGAGAUAAAUCAACAUCUCCAGCCCCUUCCUGCACAUCUCUACAAAGUGAUCAUUCAAUGGAUCGACCAGUAAAGUUCCAAGAAAGAACACAAGAUAUAAGG